CAGUCGCCACGGGAAUACGAAGGGGGCUAGCGUUGUUCGGAUUUACUGGGCGUAAAGCGCACGUAGGCGGAUUUUUAAGUCAGGGGUGAAAUCCCGGGGCUCAACCCCGGAACUGCCUUUGAUACUGGAAGUCUUGAGUAUGGUAGAGGUGAGUGGAAUUCCGAGUGUAGGGGUGAAAUUCGUAGAUAUUCGGAGGAACACCAGUGGCGAAGGCGGCUCACUGGACCAUUACUGACGCUGAGGUGCGAAAGCGUGGGGAGCAAACAGGAUUAGAUACCCCCGUAGUCCCUGUCUCUUAUAC
rnacentral:rRNA from 1 species